UACGUAGGGUGCAAGCGUUGUCCGGAAUUAUUGGGCGUAAAGAGCUCGUAGGCGGUCUGUCGCGUCGGCUGUGAAAACCCGGAGCUCAACUCCGGGCCUGCAUUCGAUACGGGCAGGCUCGAGUUCGGUAGGGGAGACUGGAAUUCCUGGUGUAGCGGUGAAAUGCGCAGAUAUCAGGAGGAACACCGGUGGCGAAGGCGGGUCUCUGGGCCGAUACUGACGCUGAGGAGCGAAAGCGUGGGGAGCGAACAGG
rnacentral:rRNA from 1 species